GCAAUUUUUAAAACUAAAAGCAGCAAACAUGGCAACAACAACAAUAUCGUUCUAUUGUGGCGAACGAGAUACUGUUGUGGAUCUCAAACUUUCUCCUGCAGAUGCUGAACGUGCGUUAACAGAUACAGUUUUUGCUACAAAAUUAGUAACAAAAGCCUCCAAUCAACAAUCAGGACCAUCGACAUCGACUAAUGUUGAUAACGACCUUUCUUUAUCUAAUGAUGCUUUUAACAAUAAUUCUAGGACAUCCGGGAACACGUCGGACUAAAUCUUCUUGUAUCAGCUCAUGUAAAUAAUUUAAUGUACAUCUUGAAAGUCUAAAGAGAUCAAUAAAGAAUUCCAUGAGUAAAAUUUUCAAAAUC